CAGAGUGAUUGCUAACUAGAUAGUCUUCUUUUUUCUUUUUCUUUUUUCUUUUUUUUCUUUUCUUUUCUAGGGAGUGUUAGUAUUUUUUUUUUCUUUCCAUUGUUUUAGUGUAAUCUUCAUUAUUAGUAGAGAAACCAAGGCAGCCCAAAGUAGGUUGAACGUGCUUUUUUUAUCGUUCUUGCCACUUGAAAAGGAGUUUAGGUUGGUUUAUCCAUUCUCGUAAGCUUGUAAAAGACAUGGUGGAAGGUAUGGGAAAUGAAAAUGAUUUUAAAGACAAACAAGAAAUGAGAGAAGAUCAUAACAAUGGAGAAGAUAUUGUAGAAUCAAGUUCGAGUUCGUCGUUUCUACCCGAUUUGAAUCUUCUAUUUGUGUUUCUAUCAUUGAUUUCUCCAAAUACAAAUGAAGAUUCAAAUGAUGGUAAUGGGGUAUCAAUGAAAAUGAAAGAGAUUGAAGAUAGCACGACAUAUAAUAUUGCAAAAUCGAGCAUAAGAAAAAAAGAUGUGAUUGAAGCCCAACAUGAAAGUCGUCGAAAAGUACCUCAAAGACUUCAUACAACAAUAAAAGAUCACAGGCAUGGAAGAAAAAUGUGAAUCAAUCAAUGGAGAGAGACGAAUGGAUAUUAAAAAGAGAUGGGAAUAACUAAUAUAGACAACCACUUUUAUAAAAGUUUUGGCACAAUCAACCCAUGAAGAAGAUAGCACAAGUGAUGUUGACAUUCUUCAUGUACAAUGACAUGUUUUUAUCAGUAAGAUAGGGCUAAUUUGCUCGUCAAACGAAAAAUUCGAUAUAACAGUCUUUGUAAUUUUUAUUUUUAAUAUAAAAAUGAAAUAUGAAAUUUUGAACUUUCAA